AUUGAACGCUGGCGGCAGGCCUAACACAUGCAAGUCGAGCGGAUGAAGGGAGCUUGCUCCCUGAUUCAGCGGCGGACGGGUGAGUAAUGCCUAGGAAUCUGCCUGGUAGUGGGGGACAACGUUUCGAAAGGAACGCUAAUACCGCAUACGUCCUACGGGAGAAAGCAGUGGACCUUAGGGCCUUGCGCUAUCAGAUGAGCCUAGGUCGGAUUAGCUAGUUGGUGAGGUAAUGGCUCACCAAGGCUGCGAUCCGUAACUGGUCUGAGAGGAUGAUCAGUCACACUGGAAUUGAGACACGGUCCAGACUCCUACGGGAGGCAGCAGUGGGGAAUAUUGGACAAUGGGCGAAAGCCUGAUCCAGCCAUGCUCGCGUGUGUGAAGAAGGUCUUUCGGAUUGUAAAGCACUUUAAGUUGGGAGGAAG
rnacentral:rRNA from 2 species